GACGAACGCUGGCGGCGCGCCUAACACAUGCAAGUCGAACGGGGAAGUUAGCAAUAACUUCUUAGUGGCGAACGGGUGAGUAACGCGUAGACAACCAACCUUACAGCGGGGGACAACACUUCGAAAGGAGUGCUAAUACCGCAUACGCUCUUCAGGUCGCAUGGCUUGAGGAGGAAAGGAGCCGCAAGGCUUCACUGUAAGACGGGUCUGCGUCUGAUUAGCUGGUUGGCGGGGUAACGGCCCACCAAGGCGACGAUCAGUAGCCGGUCUGAGAGGAUGAACGGCCACACUGGGACUGAGACACGGCCCAGACUCCUACGGGAGGCAGCAGUGGGGAAUCUUCCGCAAUGGACGAAAGUCUGACGGAGCGACGCCGCGUGAGUGAUGAAGGCCCUUGGGUCGUAAAGCUCUGUCAUUGGGGACGAACGACCGCAUCAGGAAAUGGGUGCGGAGUGACGGUACCCAAGAAGGAGGCCACGGCUAACUACGUGCCAGCAGACGCGGUAAAACGUAGGAGGCAAGCGUUAUCCGGAUUUACUGGGCGUAAAGCGUAUGCAGGCGGUUUGUUAAGUUGGAUGUGAAAGCUCCUGGCUCAACUGGGAGAGGUCGUUCAAAACUGACAGACUUGAGGGCGGUAGAGGGAAGUGGAAUUCCGUGUGUAGUGGUGAAGUGCGUAGAUAUACGGAGGAACACCAGUGGCGAAAGCGGCUUCCUGGACCGAACCUGACGCUCAUAUACGAAAGCUAGGGGAGCAAACGGGAUUAGAGACCCCGGUAGUCCUAGCUGUAAACGAUGUGAACUUGGCGUUGGUGGGUUUAAAUCCAUCGGUGCCGAAGCAAACGCGAUAAGUUCACCGCCUGGGGGA
rnacentral:rRNA from 1 species